rnacentral:lncRNA from 1 species
GAUCAUCUGGAAAUGCUCUAAGGUUUUAGUUGUGCCUCCCAAAAAAACACUAACCAGGCUUUAUUUUCAAAUGUAUCUUCUGAUUAUGAAAAAAAACCAAUGCCACUAGCAGAAAAGCAAUUCAGUUAGAUGGUAACUAUUUGAAAAAAAGUUUUGCUCCAAGUUCUCCUGGACAAAAUCUGAUCAUACAAACAGGAAUCUCACACCUGGCACAUCUUUCCCGCACAGAGCAUUCAAAGUCUUUACAGCGGAUACAGCUACUGGAUUUGUCCAAGCUGAAAAUGAAUCACAGUCCUUCUGUGAACCAGACCACCAAGCAAUCUGCUGCCCUUCACCUGCAAGGGGGAGGAAGCCUGGAACCUUAAAAAGUUCCCUCAGGAAGAGGACCAAGGCUAUCAAUUAGCAGAGUAUGCAAGCAUAAGGACUACUGAAGAAUUCCCAUCAUCUCUAGAUGGUUCUCUACUGGCUUCCUAUCAAGGCUCAUCAGGUUUGGAUGUGACCCUGUCUCUCAUGUAUUCAUCACAGCACCAUGGUGGACAGAAGAGCCAGUGUGGUCAGGCAACUGUUUGCACCACUGAGCCUUUAGAACCCCUUUAUGUAGAACUGAAGGACUGAAGAGACUAUGGAAUGGUGAGAAAUAAACCCUAGCAUCUCAAACUGCCUCAGUUUGCAAUCUGAAAGGAAGAACCUCUGUGGGUAUGGCACUGCAUGUUGUUUGACAGCAGUAACUAGCAUGGCUUUCCUCCCCUGGGGCUGUUCCUGAGCACACUGCAGGCCUG